rnacentral:rRNA from 1 species
AUGCACACUAGGUACUUAUCUGUGUGAUUGAUAGUAUAUAUUAGUACAGGCAUGUCAGAUUAUAUAUGGACCACGGCGCUUCAUCCAAAAACCUCCCUGGAAAAGUAAAGUUCGACAAGGUUUCCGUAGGUGAACUGCGGAAGGAUC